rnacentral:misc_RNA from 1 species
GAUGAAAGAACGUAGCGAAUCGCGAUACGUAAUGUGAAUUGCAGAAUUCAGUGAAUCAUCGAAUCUUUGAACGCACCUUGCACCCUCUGGUAUUCCGGAGGGUAUGCCUGUCUGAGUGUCACGUCAAUCAUCGUCCCCUCGGGUCAUGCCCGUGGGGGUCGGACUUGGGUGUUGCCCCUUACCCGGGCUCGCCUCAAAUGUAUCGGUGGCUAUGCCGCCCCGUGGUCUUGCGUGAUAUGUAUCGCCUGACCCAGGGUGGCCGGCUUCCUCGAAACCGCCGUCGUCUUUGGACGUCGGACCUCUUGUGAUAGACCUCAGAUCAGGUAGGACUACCCGCUGAACUUAAGCAUAUCAAUAAGCGGAGGA